CUCGCGAUAGUAGUGUUUUAAAAUGGCGGACGGACGCAAGGCGCUCCACGGGUUGUCUGGAAAGGUUUGGAGGUGGGGCGCGGACGAGGAUGAACCCUGAACUGACCAGAAGUCGGAAAACUAUUGGAAGCGGAAUGGUCUGUCCGGGCGGGUGCAAGUUUUUUCGUUCGACAUGGAGAAGUUGGAGAUGAAGAAGGCAGGCCAAAAAUUGACCUUCCCAUCUCCCCAUUACCUUCUAGUAAGAGGUUUUCAUCCGUUCUUCCCCCACCCUGAUUUGUAAAAAGUAUUUGGCUUCACAGAAAUGUUUGUCCUGAUGCCCCGCCUCGCCAUCUCAGGAGACCAAAAUAGGAAAAAUUUUCAAUAAAAACCAACAUGUAAGAA